GUGAGACCCUGUCUCAAAAACACAAAAACAAAAAAACAGGCAUGCAAAGAAGCAGAAAAACAGAACCCAUAAUGAGUAGAAAAAUAACAAAGACCCAGAAAUUGCAUAGAUGAUGGAAUUAGUGAUCAGGACAUUAAAAGAGCUACUAUGAAUAUUCCCCGUAUGUUCAAGAAGAAUGGAGAAUGAACGGGAGUGAGGGACCGGAAACGACUGUGUUCCAUGCUGAGGGUGGCAGAGGCUGGCCCGGAUGCUGGAUGAGGCUCAACUCGGGGGCCUGGGCUGUUGCACUGGGGCUGGACUGGGGAUCACGGAAGAGGGCCAGGCCCGCGUGGGUCUCCAGGGCCGUGCUCAGGGGUGUGGUCUUCUGCAGUGAGGGCGUGGCUGGUGAGUGGAGACUGCGUGGCUGAGGGCGUGGCCUAGAAUGGGUGUGGCUAUGUACUAGGGCGUGGUCAUUGCGUAGGGGCUUGGGUGAAGCGUUAACAGUGGGUGGGCGUGGCUUGGGCUCGAGGGCGUGGCUAGCACGCGGGGGUGUGGCUCACGCUCGUGUAGGCGUCCGAGCUCCAGGGCAGCUCUGGGGCAGAACUGUCCGGAUCUAAUAAUCCCUGGGGAGCCGGAGACCGGUGACCGGUCUGUGGGCUAACUCAGGGCUGUUCGGGAGACAGGCGGGCCGUGGGGGCAGGUGAAGGGUGCUGGACGUGCAAGCCGGGCACGCAGAAGCGAGAGGGCAGAGAGGAAAGGGCGUGAAUAGGGGGCGGGGCCUCUAACGCCCACCUUGUCCCCCCACAGCCGCCCUGCCCGCAGGCCAUGUGGCCCCCGCUGUUGCUGCUGCUGCUGCUGCUCCCGGCAGCCCCGGUCCCCACAGCUAAGGCCGCUCCCCUCCCGGAUGCUAACACCCAGGAAGGCCUUCAGAACCUGCUCCAAGGAGUCGAGGCUGGCGGAGACGGAGAGCUGCAGGCAGACUCACACCUGGCCCCGGGCUCUGGCUGUAUUGAUAGGGCUGUGGUGGCCACGCGACCAGAAAGUCGGGAAGGAAGACCUGCGGCUCCGUGAGAGGCGUCCAGGGCUGCAGGCCAUGGCGACAGGCUCCGGGGAACAUGGGGCUUUCCCUGUCCACUCCCAAGGAGUGUGGGCCUCAACGCAUUGGCAGGGGACGGCCAUGUGCCCUCUCCAGACCCCACCCCCAGAUCCAUUUAUUAGAAAUAAUAAAGUUCUUUCUUAGCUA